rnacentral:rRNA from 1 species
GAUGAACGCUGGCGGCGUGCCUAAUACAUGCAAGUCGAGCGAACAGACGAGGAGCUUGCUCCUCUGACGUUAGCGGCGGACGGGUGAGUAACACGUGGAUAACCUACCUAUAAGACUGGGAUAACUUCGGGAAACCGGAGCUAAUACCGGAUAAUAUUUUGAACCGCAUGGUUCAAUAGUGAAAGACGGUCUUGCUGUCACUUAUAGAUGGAUCCGCGCUGCAUUAGCUAGUUGGUAAGGUAACGGCUUACCAAGGCAACGAUGCGUAGCCGACCUGAGAGGGUGAUCGACCACACUGGAACUGAGACACGGUCCAGACUCCUACGGGAGGCAGCAGUAGGGAAUCUUCCGCAAUGGGCGAAAGCCUGACGGAGCAACGCCGCGUGAGUGAUGAAGGUCUUCGGAUCGUAAAACUCUGUUAUUAGGGAAGAACAUAUGUGUAAGUAACUGUGCACAUCUUGACGGUACCUAAUCAGAAAGCCACGGCUAACUACGUG